UACGUAGGUGACAAGCGUUGUCCGGAUUUACUGGGCGUAAAGAGCGCGCAGGCGGUCGAUCAAGUCGAGUGUGAAAGCCCCCGGCUCAACUGGGGAGGGUCAUUCGAUACUGAUCGACUCGAAGGCAGGAGAGGGUAGUGGAAUUCCCGGUGUAGUGGUGAAAUGCGUAGAUAUCGGGAGGAACACCAGUGGCGAAGGCGACUACCUGGCCUGUUCUUGAUGCUGAGGCGCGAAAGCUAGGGGAGCAAACGGG
rnacentral:rRNA from 1 species